rnacentral:rRNA from 1 species
AUUGAACGCUGGCGGCAGGCCUAACACAUGCAAGUCGAACGAGUGGCGGACGGGUGAGUAGUGUCUGGGAAACUGCCUGAUGGAGGGGGAUACCUACUGGAAACGGUAGCUGAUACCGCAUACCAUCAGCGGUGCCAAGAGGGGCUUAGCUAGGUGGUGGGGUAACGGCUCACCAAGGCGACGAUCCCUAGUUGGGCUGAGAGGAUGACCAGCCACACUGGAACUGAGACACGGUCCAGACUCCUACGGGAGGCAGCAGUGGGGAAUAUUGCACAAUGGGCGCAAGCCUGAUGCAGCCAUGCCGCGUGUAUGAAGAAGGCCUUCGGGUUGUAAAGUACUUUCAGCGGGGAGGCGUUAACCGCAGAAGAAGCACCGGCUAACUCCGUGCCAGCAGCCGCGGUAAUUC